CUGCCCAAAAGAGGGGGAUAACACUUGGAAACAGGUGCUAAUACCGCAUAACCAUAGUUACCGCAUGGUAACUAUGUAAAAGGUGGCUAUGCUACCGCUUUUGGAUGGGCCCGCGGCGCAUUAGCUAGUUGGUGGGGUAAAGGCUUACCAAGGCAAUGAUGCGUAGCCGAACUGAGAGGUUGAUCGGCCACAUUGGGACUGAGACACGGCCCAAACUCCUACGGGAGGCAGCAGUAGGGAAUCUUCCACAAUGGGCGAAAGCCUGAUGGAGCAACGCCGCGUGGGUGAAGAAGGUCUUCGGAUCGUAAAACCCUGUUGUUAGAGAAGAAAGUGCGUGAGAGUAACUGUUCACGUUUCGACGGUAUCUAACCAGAAAGCCACGGCUAACUACGUGCCAGCAGCCGCGGUAAUACGUAGGUGGCAAGCGUUAUCCGGAUUUAUUGGGCGUAAAGGGAACGCAGGCGGUCUUUUAAGUCUGAUGUGAAAGCCUUCGGCUUAACCGGAGUAGUGCAUUGGAAACUGGGAGACUUGAGUGCAGAAGAGGAGAGUGGAACUCCAUGUGUAGCGGUGAAAUGCGUAGAUAUAUGGAAGAACACCAGUGGCGAAAGCGGCUCUCUGGUCUGUAACUGACGCUGAGGUUCGAAAGCGUGGGUAGCAAACAGGAUUAGAUACCCUGGUAGUCCACGCCGUAAAC
rnacentral:rRNA from 1 species